rnacentral:rRNA from 1 species
CCUACGGGUGGCAGCAGUGAGGAAUAUUGGUCAAUGGGCGAUAGCCUGAACCAGCCAAGUCGCGUGAGGGAAGACGGUCCUAUGGAUUGUAAACCUCUUUUGCCGGGGAGUAAAAAGCGGUACGUGUACUGCAUCGAGAGUACCCGGAGAAAAAGCAUCGGCUAACUCCGUGCCAGCAGCCGCGGUAAUACGGAGGAUGCGAGCGUUAUCCGGAUUUAUUGGGUUUAAAGGGUGCGUAGGCGGGUUGUUAAGUCAGUGGUAAAAGUUUGCGGCGCAACCGAAAAGGUGCAGUGGAUACUGGCAUCCUUGAGUACAGUAGAGGUAGGCGGAAGUCGUGGUGUAGCGGUGAAAUGCU